rnacentral:rRNA from 1 species
GACGAACGCUGGCGGCGUGCUUAACACAUGCAAGUCGAACGGAAAGGCCCUGCUUUUGUGGGUUUCUCGAGUGGCGAACGGGUGAGUAACACGUGUGUAACCUGCCCUUGACUUUGGGAUAACUUCAGGAAACUGGGGCUAAUACCGGAUAGGAUCUCCUGCUGCAUGUUGGGGGUUGGAAAGUUUCGGCUGUUGUGGAUGGACUCGCGGCUUAUCAGCUUGUUUGUGGGGUAGUGGCUUACCAAGGCUUUGACGGGUAGCCUGCCUGAGCGGGGUACCGGCGACAUGGGGACUGAGAUACGGCCCAGAAGCCUACGGGACGCAGUAGUGGGGAGUAUUGCACAAUGGGCGGAAGCCUGAGGCAGAAACGCCGCGUGCGGGAUGACGGCCUUCGGGUUGUAAACCGAUUUCGACUGAGACGAAGCGGGAGUGACGGUAAUGGGUAAAGAAGCACCGGCUAACUACGUG